GUCGUAACAAGGUUUCCGUAGGUGAACCUGCGGAAGGAUCAUUAUCGUUCCUUCACCCGCACCUUGCGUACAGUGAUCGUUUCUUUUCUCUUUCCGUGGGGGUCGCGCGAGCGGCUCUUGCGGAUCGAGGAGCACCCUGCUUCGGCAGACCACUCGGCUUUGCACGCUCCGGCGCGCAGGCCACCCCCCGAGGAGCGCUUGCGCCCGUCGCUCGCCUCCUCACCCAUCCAAGAAAUCACACAACUCCUGUCGGUGGAUAUCUUGGCAUGAGCAACGAUGAAGAACGCAGCGAAAUGCGAUACGUAGUGCGAAUUGCAGAAAACUGAGAAUCAUCGAACCUUUGAACGCAUAUGGCGCUUCCAGCUUCCGGCUGGAAGCAUGUCUCCUCCAGUGGCGCCACCAACCCCCUCGGGUGCGCCCCGCGCACCCGGACCGUGGCCGCCGCGAGCGAUCCGUCGCUCGCGCCGGCUCAAGUGUUGAGCGCCGCCUUGGGGCCGCGUGCGCGCGCGCUGCGUUCUCGCAGUGCGUGCGGCCGAUGUGCUAGUGACUCUGUCUCUUUACCAUCGGAGGAAGCGCGUUCCCUACUGGCGCGUCCCGUUCGCUUCGGCGUUCGGGGCUCCCCUUGGUGCGGCCUUCGGGCCUCCACCUCUACUAACGCCAUGGAGUGAUGCAAGGCUACCCGCUGAACUUAAGCAUAUCACUAAGCGGAGGAGAAGAAAACAACCGUGAUGCCCCUAGUAAUGGCGAAUGAAGAGGGCAGAGCUCACGCUGCCAAUCUGGAGGCCCUCGCGGCCCCCCGAAUUGUAGUCUAGAAAGGCGCCAUCGGACACAACCGCCGCUAAAAUCCCUUGGAACAGGGUAUCGGAGAAGGUGAGAAUCCUGUGACGUGGUGGCUUGUGUCCGCACGAUGCGCUCUUGCAGAGUCGGGUUGCUUGGGAUUGCAGCUUGAAGUGGGUGGUAAAUUCCAUCUAAAGCUAAAUAUUGGCUCAUGACCGAUAGCGAACAAGUACCGUGAGGGAAAGAUGCAAAGAACUUUGAAAAGAGAGUUAAAGAGUGCUUGAAACCGGCCGGAGGAAACCCGGUUGCGCCUGGUUUCGCAUAACUCAUCAGCCGUCCUCGUGGGCGGUGUACUGUGGAGUGCGGGUCAACCGCGUCUCGGCGGGCGGGAUAAUCACUCAGCUCUAGUUAGCGAGGACAUGCCGCGCGCCGGGCCCCGGUUGACGUAACAGGCGCAACCGACCCGUCUAGAAACACGGACCAAGGAGUCUGACAUGGAUGCGAGUACACGGGUGUCAAGCCUGCGUGCGCAAUGAAAGUAAAGGCGGCGCCACCGCAACCGACCUAGAUCUUCUGUGAAGGGUUUGAGUAGAGCAUCGCUGUCGGGACCCGAAAGAUGGUGAACUAUGCGUG
rnacentral:rRNA from 1 species